AAGACCUUUGCGCGCAGGCCUCAGGCCCUCGGUGGGGCUUGACCGGGUCCACCGCCGGUGGCUCUGGGGGUACAGCUGUGUGACACGGUACAGUGAGCAGCACAUUUGAGAUGGUGGCGGCUCGACUAGCUGGGAUGUGUAGAAGGAGUACCAAAAAAAUCCUCAGCCAAACCCCAACUGAAGGAUGAACACAAGCAAGAGAUGCAUCUUGAGGACAUAGGAGUCAUUUCUGUGCCUGUGACCUUGGCAACACCAGCCACCGCGUGCUCUUCAGCCAGAAAUUCGGACGCUGGGUUGAGGGCUUGGGAAACAGCAUGCCUGAGCCGUGAUGUCCCCUGAGGUGUGUGCAUGUCUCCAUCCUUUCUCACAGCUGGUUCUUCCUGGCCAGUGACAUUUUAAAGUUCUGCUCUCAA